rnacentral:rRNA from 1 species
GAUGAACGCUGGCGGCGUGCCUAAUACAUGCAAGUCGAGCGAACGGACGAGAAGCUUGCUUCUCUGAUGUUAGCGGCGGACGGGUGAGUAACACGUGGAUAACCUACCUAUAAGACUGGGAUAACUUCGGGAAACCGGAGCUAAUACCGGAUAAUAUUUUGAACCGCAUGGUUCAAAAGUGAAAGACGGUCUUGCUGUCACUAAUAGAUGGAUCCGCGCUGCAUUAGCUAGUUGGUAAGGUAACGGCUUACCAAGGCAACGAUGCAUAGCCGACCGGAGGGGGUGAUCGGCCACACUGGAACUGGGACACGGUCCAGACUCCUACGGGAGGCAGCAGUAGGGAAUCUUCCGCAAUGGGCGAAAGCCUGACGGAGCAACGCCGCGUGAGUGAUGAAGGUCUUCGGAUCGUAAAACUCUGUUAUUAGUGAAGAACAUAUGUGGAAGUAACUGUGCACAGCGUGACGGUACCUAAUCAGAAAGCCACGGCUAACUACGUG